AGCAGCCGCGGUAAUUCCAGCUCCAAUAGCGUAUAUUAAAGUUGUUGCAGUUAAAAAGCUCGUAGUUGAAUUUCGGGAUUGACGUGAUGGUCAUGCCUUAAGGGGUAUGAACUGUCGCUGUUGAUUUCUCACCUUCUGGAGAAACUUGAUGUCCUUAAUUGGGUGUCUUGCGGAUCCAGGACCUUUACCUUGAAAAAUUAGAGUGUUUAAAGCAGGCAUUUUUGCUCGAAUACAUUAGCAUGGAAUAAUAGAAUAGGACGGCAUGGUUCUAUUUUGUUGGUUUCUAGGAUCACCGUAAUGAUUAAUAGGGAUAGUUGGGGGCAUUAGUAUUCAAUUGUCAGAGGUGAAAUUCUUGGAUUUAUUGAAGACUAACUACUGCGAAAGCAUUUGCCAAGGAUGUUUUCAUUAAUCAAGAACGAAAGUUAGGGGAUCGAAGACGAUCAGAUACCG
rnacentral:rRNA from 1 species